rnacentral:rRNA from 1 species
GGGAUUGCCCUAGUAACGGCGAGUGAAGCGGCAACAGCUCAAAUUUGAAAUCUGGCCCUCGCGGUCCGAGUUGUAAUUUGUAGAGGAUGCUUUUGGUGCGGCGCCUUCCGAGUUCCCUGGAACGGGACGCCGGAGAGGGUGAGAGCCCCGUACGGUUGGACGCCUAGCCUAUAUAUAGCUCCUUCGACGAGUCGAGUAGUUUGGGAAUGCUGCUCUAAAUGGGAGGUAAAUUUCUUCUAAAGCUAAAUACCGGCCAGAGACCGAUAGCGCACAAGUAGAGUGAUCGAAAGAUGAAAAGCACUUUGAAAAGAGGGUUAAAUAGCACGUGAAAUUGUUGAAAGGGAAGCGUUUGCGACCAGACUUUUUCCAGGGGAAUCAUCCGGUGUUCUCACCGGUGCACUUCCCCUGGUUUAGGCCAGCGUCGGUUCUCUUAGGGGGAUAAAGGCUUGGGGAACGUAGCUCUUUCGGGAGUGUUAUAGCCCCUCGCGUAAUACCCUUCGGGGGACCGAGGAUCGCGCUCUGCAAGGACGCUGGCGUAAUGGUCGUCAACGACCCGUCUUGAAACACGGACCAAGGAGUCGAACAUUUGUGCGAGUGUUUGGGUGUUAAACCCUCACGCGUAAUGAAAGUGAACGGAGGUGAGAGCCCUCACGGGUGCAUCAUCGACCGAUCCUGAUGUCUUCGGAUGGAUUUGAGUAAGAGCAUAACUGUUCGGACCCGAAAGAUGGUGAACUAUGCGUGGAUAGGGUGAAGCCAGAGGAAACUCUGGUGGAGGCUCGCAGCGGUUCUGACGUGCAAAUCGAUCGUCAAAUCUGCGCAUGGGGGCGAAAGACUUAUCGAACCAUCUAGUAGCUGGUUACCG